UGUAUACAGGUGAUGCAGAACUAACUAUAUCAAUAAGUACAGUACAGUACUGUAAAGUAUUUUCUCCUUCCAAUUUUCUUAGUAACAUUUUCUUUUCUCUAGCUUA